rnacentral:rRNA from 1 species
GUGCCAGCAGCCGCGGUAAUACGUAGGUGGCAAGCGUUGUCCGGAAUCAUUGGGCGUAAAGCGCGCGUAGGCGGUUUGUCAGGUCUGAUGUGAAAUCUUGGGGCUCAACUCCAAGCGUGCAUCGGAAACCGGCUUACUAGAGUCUGGAAGAGGAGAGUGGAAUUCCUGGUGUAGCGGUGAAAUGCGUAGAUAUCAGGAGGAACACCAGUUGCGAAGGCGGCUCUCUGGGACAGUACUGACGCUGAGGCGCGAAAGCUAGGGGAGCGAACAGGAUUAGAUACCCCCGUAGUCC